rnacentral:rRNA from 1 species
UACGUAGGGGGCUAGCGUUAUCCGGAAUUACUGGGCGUAAAGGGUGCGUAGGUGGUUGAUUAAGUCUGAUGUGAAAGGCUACGGCUCAACCGUAGUAAGCCUUUGAAACUGAGAAACUUGAGUGCAGGAGAGGAGAGUAGAAUUCCUAGUGUAGCGGUGAAAUGCGUAGAUAUUAGGAGGAAUACCAGUUGCGAAGGCGGCUCUCUGGACUGUAACUGACACUGAGGCACGAAAGCGUGGGGAGCAAACAGGAUUAGAUACCCUGGUAGU